GCCCUACGGGAGGCAGCAGUGGGGAAUAUUGCACAAUGGGGGAAACCCUGAUGCAGCGACGCCGCGUGAAGGAAGAAGUAUUACGGUAUGUAAACUUCUAUCAGCAGGGAAGAAAAUGACGGUACCUGACUAAGAAGCCCCGGCUAACUACGUGCCAGCAGCCGCGGUAAUACGUAGGGGGCAAGCGUUAUCCGGAUUUACUGGGUGUAAAGGGAGCGUAGGCGGUGCAGCAAGUCAGAAGUGAAAGCCCGGGGCUCAACUCCGGGACUGCUUUUGAAACUGUUGGACUAGAUUGCAGGAGAGGG
rnacentral:rRNA from 1 species